GGGGAUUUAGCUCAGUGGUAGAGCGCUCGCCUAGCAAGUGUGAGGCCCUGGGUUCGGUCCUCAGCUCUG
rnacentral:tRNA from 1 species